rnacentral:rRNA from 1 species
AUUGAACGCUGGCGGAAUGCUUUACACAUGCAAGUCGAACGGUAGAGGGGGCAACCCCUUGAGAGUGGCGAACGGGUGAGUAAUAUAUCGGAACGUGCCCAGUCGUGGGGAUAACGUAGCGAAAGUUACGCUAAUACCGCAUACGAUCUAAGGAUGAAAGCGGGGGAUCGCAAGACCUCGCGCGAUUGGAGCGGCCGAUAUCAGAUUAGGUAGUUGGGUGAGGUAAAGGCUCACCAAGCCAACGAUCUGUAGCUGGUCUGAGAGGACGACCAGCCACACUGGAACUGAGACACGGUCCAGACUCCUACGGGAGGCAGCAGUGGGAAUUUUGGACAAUGGACGCAAGUCUGAUCCAGCCAUUCCGCGUGCAGGAUGAAGGCCCUCGGGUUGUAAACUGCUUUUGUACGGAACGAAACGGUGAGCUCU